UCCAGCGGUCCUUCCUUACUUGCCUGUCUGCCUGAUCUGAUCUUGGUUUUACCUCUUGUUUUCUCUGCCCUGCCUUGCCAUCAUCAGAUACCUUACUGGCUUGCUUUCUGGACAUCGACCUCGCUUCUGUUUUCGGACCACCUCUCCCUGCCUCCUCCCUGGAUCUGUUUGCUUAUAUCCCUGUUCAUGACUUCAUUUCUGCGUCCUGGACCACGAGUUAAGCCUCUCCCUCGGAUCCUGUUGCUCAUAUCUGCUCUCAUGGCACUGACCCUGUUUCUGUCCCCUGACCACCGCAACCUGCUCAUUCACUGGGUUUGUAAACCUGAGAACCUUUGGAGCGUUUCCCAGCUGUUGCCCCACCAGCACUCUGAGGAGCUGAAAAUCAGCUUCCUGGUUCCCAUAUGGGUUCUGAGAAGAGGUUCCUGAGCCUGCCACUGGAGGUUUCCUAUCGAUCGCCAUCCAGAACUUUUAAUAAACUUUGGAAUCUGA